rnacentral:rRNA from 1 species
GAUGAACGCUGGCGGCGUGCCUAAUACAUGCAAGUCGAGCGAACAGACGAGGAGCUUGCUCCUCUGACGUUAGCGGCGGACGGGUGAGUAACACGUGGAUAACCUACCUAUAAGACUGGGAUAACUUCGGGAAACCGGAGCUAAUACCGGAUAAUAUAUUGAACCGCAUGGUUCAAUAGUGAAAGACGGUUUUGCUGUCACUUAUAGAUGGAUCCGCGCCGCAUUAGCUAGUUGGUAAGGUAACGGCUUACCAAGGCAACGAUGCGUAGCCGACCUGAGAGUGGGGACGGCCACAGUGGAAGUGACACGGGGCCCAGGCUCCAGGGGGGGGCACAAGGAGGGAAUCUUCCAGAAGGGGGGAAAGUGUGAGGGAGCAACGCGGCGGGAGGAAUAAGGUUCUCGGAAUCGUAAAACUCUUUUAUAGGGGAAAAAAAAAUUUGAAAUAAACUAUCCACGUCUGAAGGUUCCCUAAUAAGAAAGCGACGGCAAACUCGGUC